rnacentral:lncRNA from 1 species
ACAAGAGCACACUAACAAAACACGAGACCAAAGCAACGAUACAGGCCAACUGAGGAACCUAAAUAACCAGGCAACCUGGUGAACAGAGAAGUGUGUUCUGGGUUUUCAGACGGCUCUGGCUCCGUGGACCCCCGGCCAGGCCGACGCUCCUGCGUUUGAUGAGUGGUUCAGGGGCACAGACGUCUGGAGCGAGGCUCACGUCAGACUCCAAUGUGCCAUCCACCGUUAGAAGGAGCAAGCAGACCGCAGUGAGACUCCAGUGUUCCAUCCUGGGGAUCGCGUCUGGCUCUCCUCCGACCGGUGGUUCCUUGUCCCCUGUCUGAUGCUGUCCCCCACGACACUUACCACCUGCUUCUCAACUCCCAGCGUCUACGUUACAGAAUGAGUAGGUAUCAAACAAGAUGGGUGGUUUCCUGAGGAAAAUCCCCCAGUGCAACAGCUUGCUUCCAGGCGCCCGCUUUGCUGCAGAACACUUCUAAUGGAGACAGGUCCAUGCAAAGGUUAAUCCUCUUCGACAAGGAGCAACAGCAGCUCAGGUGUGACAAGCCCCCCUGUUCUGUUUGUCCACAACGCCUCUGCAACCUGAGGCUAGACCAGCGUCACCAUGGCGCUGUGUUUGUUUGUUCAGAUAUAAAUCACUAGGUUCCUGCAGUGAAUAGAAAUGUAAUAUGCAGUAUCGUUA